rnacentral:tRNA from 1 species
GCUGCUAUAAUUUAAACAUAAAAUAUUGAUUUUGUAAAUCAAAUACGAAUAAUUUUCUAACAGCC